GUAGGUGGCAAGCGUUGUCCGGAAUUAUUGGGCGUAAAGCGCGCGCAGGCGGUCCUUUAAGUCUGAUGUGAAAGCCCACGGCUCAACCGUGGAGGGUCAUUGGAAACUGGGAGAACUUGAGUACAGAGGGGAAAGCGGAAUUCCACGUGUAGCGGUGAAAUGCGUAGAGAUGUGGAGGAACACCAGUGGCGAAGGCGGCUUUCUGGUCUGUAACUGACGCUGAGGCGCGAAAGCGUGGGGAGCAAACGAGGGAUUAGAUACCCUGGUAGUCCACGCCGUAAACGAUGAGUGCUAAGUGUUAGGGGGGUUUCCGCCCCCUUAGUGCUGCAGCUAACGCAUUAAGCACUCCGCCUGGGGAGUACGGCCGCAAGGCUG
rnacentral:rRNA from 1 species